rnacentral:rRNA from 1 species
CACGUAGGGUCCAAGCGUUGUCCGGAUUUAUUGGGCGCAAAGAGCUCGUAGGCGGCUUGGUAAGUCGAGUGUGAAAACUCUGGGCUCAACUCAGAGACGCCACUCGAUACUGCCAUGGCUUGAGUCCGGUAGGGGAGUGUGGAAUUCCCGGUGUAGCGGUGAAAUGCGCAGAUAUCAGGAGGAACACCGGUGGCGAAGGCGCCACUCUGGGCCGAAACUGACGCUGAGGAGCGAAAGCGUGGGUAGCAAACAGG